rnacentral:lncRNA from 1 species
GUGAUGGCGCGCGGCCUCCACACGAGGUGCACCAGCGCGUUGAACGCCCACGAGACCAGCACCGCUACCACGGCCGCCGCCACCAUCCAGACGAGACCCAUGGUGGACCGGCACGGCGGUCACUCGGGAUUGAGAGAUUGAGACGGGUGGGGUGCCUCUGCUUCUGGUGCUCUGCUUGUGAUUGUGAGCUUGAGUCCUUGAGACCGGGAAAUGCGUGUGUGUGUCUGCUGUGAGAGUCGGGUCGGGGAGGUGGGUAUUUAUCCGGGAGGAUGAGCUUUGACCAUGGCCUCGGGUCGCCGGCUUGCUUGCUGGUGCUGGGCACGCGGCUGUGGGCAUGCACACGAGGGAGAAGAGAGGCUCGGCGUUUGGUGAGCUCAGCUGUGAUGCAUGCGAGUUCACCAACUAUGCUCGUGGGAACGUGUGGUCUGCCGGGAAGCCGUCGUACGCAUGGAGCUGCUGGCCGACAUCGACGUCGACGGGAUAUCCGCACCGCACGGGGCUGGCUUACAUUAGUACUCUAGAUGAAACUUCUUUUAAUAACGAAACCAGAUCGCAUCUGGCCCCCACGCCGCUCCCUCCCCGGGCCGACACCGACGGGCGGCUCCAACCCUAUAGCCUCUCCCCUCCCGCCUCUUUCUCCCCCUCGCUGUCGCCGGUGGCCUUCGACAGGUAAAGCCUGCGCGGAGCCGGCGGCGGCGGGGCGCUCUCUGGCUGCCGCUCGCUCGUGGGUUGGGGAUACGGNNNNNNNNNNNNNNNNNNNNNNNNNNNNNNNNNNNNNNNNNNNNNNNNNNNNNNNNNNNNNNNNNNNNNNNNNNNNNNNNNNNNNNNNNNNNNNNNNNNNCCAUCUUUGAUCAACGAGCUAGUCAACUAGAGGCUUACUAGGGACAGUGUUUUGUCUAUGUAUCCACACAUGCACUGUGUUUCCAAUCAAUACAAUUAUAGCAUGGAUAAUAAACGAUUAUCAUGAACAAAGAACUAUAAUAAUAACUAAUUUAUUAUUGCCUCUAGGGCAUAUUUCCAACUGUCUCCCACUUGCACUAGAGUCAAUAAUCUAGUUCACAUCACCAUGUGAUUCCAACGAAUCCAGCACCCAUAUAGUUAUGGGGUCUGAUCACGUCUUGCUCGUGAGAGAGGUUUUAGUCAACGGUUCUGAAACUUUCAGAUCCGUGUGUUCUUUACAAAUAUUUGUGUCAUCUUAUAGAUGCUGCUACUAUGUGCUAUUCGGAAAUACUCCAAAUAUCUACUCUACUAUACGAAUCCGUUUCACUACUCAUAGUUAUUCGGAUUAGUGUCAAAGCUUGCAUCGACGUAACCCUUUACGACGAACUUUUUAACCACCUCCAUAAUCGAGAAAAAUUCCUUAGUCCAUCAGUUACUAAGGAUAAAUUUUGACCGCUGCUAAUGAUUCAAUCAUGGAUCACUCUUUGUACCUCUCAACAGACUUUGAGUCAAGGCACACAUCAGGUGCGGUACCCAGCAUGGCAUACUUCAGAUUCUACGGCCAAGGCAUAGAAUACGACCUUCGUCUAUUCUCUUUAUUCUGCCGGGGUCGGGUGUUGAGUCUUACUCAAAUUCACACCUUACAACGCAACCAAGAACUCCUUCUUUGCUGAUCUAUUUUGAACUCCUUCAAAAACUUGUCAAGGCAUGCAUCUUGUUGAAACUUCUAUCAAGCGCUUUCGAUCUAUCUCCAUAGAUCUUUGAUGCUCAACGUUCAAGUAGCGCAAUCCAGGUAUUCCUUUGAAAACUNNNNNNNNNNNNNNNNNNNNNNNNNNNNNNNNNNNNNNNNNNNNNNNNNNNNNNNNNNNNNNNNNNNNNNNNNNNNNNNNNNNNNNNNNNNNNNNNNNNNCGUGUACACUUCUUGAUCUGUACUUGGCUUGUUGGUUCAGUGUAUGUUAACCAUUCAUCAAAUGGUUCUUAACCCAUUUAUGUAAAAAGUUCCAACCCAUAGUGGAGGUUGUGUUUAGUUUAGUUUGGGUAAGAAAAAUAGCAGGUUCGGUUUUGGUUGGGUUUCAAGCUAGCUUAGAUGGGUUUGGUUUAUGUUCAGGUUUCAAGCUAACUCCCAUGGGUUCGUUUUAGGUACCGUUCAGGUACCCAACCAUUCUCAGAUUUACGUGACAUGGAAAAUACACCCAGAGAAAUUCUGAAUAUCUUCUACAACAAACAUUGCCUCGUUUAGUGUAUGCAUGCAAAUUUUUGGGAUGAAAUCAUAUUUAUGAAGAUUUGGUCAAAAUAUAACUAAAUCAGCUCUUCAAAAGGCUUUGAAAGAUGGCAUGAUGAUACACGGACCUUUUCCUUCCCCUCACACAAAGGUGACUAGUGCAGAGUUCUCCUACCUCCAACCUCCACCGACCAUCACAUGGAUUCUCCUCCCCUAUGUCUAUCGCCUCCGGUGGCUGCUGAUGGAGAGAGGAGUCCCCGUGCCUCGACUCCGGGUAAUAGUUUAGAUUAGGGAUUUUAGUCCUCGUGAGGGAGGCGUUCGGAUGGAAGGUGACACUUCAUCUCCGAGUUGCUUUUGUGGACAUUAAUCCCCCUCGAAUUCGUUCGUCAUGACGGAGUCAACGGAGCUCCAACCUAAGUUCAUGCUAACUCCUUGGGGGAUGAGGUAAUAAUCUUUCAUCGUAAGUGCAUGACAACGAGAUUUAAUGGUACACACAUCAAAUUGAUUCAACAGUUUCAACGACGACGGUUACGACUCUAAGUGUUAGUUCUUAGGGGUACGUGCAUGAAGACUCCCGGCUGUCAUCGACAAGGUAAUGUUGGCUCUAUGGAGCGGUGUCACGAGGGUGUCAACGUCUCAUCUGGCAAUGGUAGUGGUCAUACUAUGGUCUAGGUACAUUGAUGUAAUUUUUCUUAAUGAUGAUUGGGGUGUUUUGUAUUUCUAGUGGACUUUUAUAAUCUAUCCACGUAUUUUUUUAGUGCUUUCAAAAAUAACCUCUUUUACGACAUUCAUUUUUUCUCUCGAAAUCAUUAGGAAUGUUUUUUCUUCAUGGAAAUUUGUAGGCAUGCAUGACGUUCACGAAUGUUUAUAGCCAAAAAGUUCAAGUUAUUAUUAUUAUUAAUAAUUAUAUGGUUCAUGAGGAUAUAUUGUGCUCGGGGGAAGAAACUCCAUGCUAAACAAAGUGAUCCCCAGUUCAAGAACUGCAUUUGAUUGCAAAAGGUAAGAGCGUGUCUGUUUUUGGAUUCAUAUAUUAAAGAACUGCUAGAAUACUGUUAUUUUUCAUUAUUUGGGUUUCGGUAAAAAGGUAUUCUCUACAUGUAAAAAAGAUUCUGAGAAAAUCAAACAACAACUUUGAAAAUAAAGAAGACAUGGGCCAAAAUCCCACUUUGAAGGGAGCCCCUAGGGCGUAGGAGCUAAAUCUAUGUGAAUAAAUAUAUCCCGCUUAUGGUGUGACGGAGGUCCUAUGCGUCGCUCAUUCCGGCACGGUGUCAACCAUUCGCACAGAGACGAACCAACUGGCGAUCAAAAUGGGCUGGCCCAAUUGCAUAAGAACGCACAAGUUACAGUGUCCGGUUUCCGGACCCUUCUAGAACGUUCCUAACCGGUUUAGAAACCUUCUAGAAGGAUCUUAAACUAAUAUUUAUAGGUUUUUUUAAUUUAUUUUGUUUCUUUUUUAGUUUAUUUCUUUUCCUUUUUCGAUUCUAUUUCUCCUUUUAUUUUUCAGUUUUUAUGCCAUUUAUUUUAUUUACUUAUUCUUCUGUUUCUUGUUCUUCAGAAUUAAAAAAAAAUCAGAAUUUCGGAAAAUGUUCAGAAGUUACAAAAAUGUGCAGUUUUGAAAAAAGGAAUUAUUUUGAGAAUGAGACUAUUUUUUAAAAUAGUUUCGACCAUUCUUUUGGAAAACAUUCAUCUUUUAAAAAAUGCACCUUUUUAGAACGGGAACAUUUUUAAAAAAAUUGUGCAGUUUUUUAAUACGAGAUUUUUUUAGAAACACGAACAUUUUUGAAAAGUUGUGGAUAAUUAUUCAAGCGGGAACAUUAAUUGAACUUAUGUACACUUUUUGAAACGGAACAUUUUUUGAACUUACGUACAUUUUUUGAUAAGGCAAACCUUUUUUAGAAAAUGAAAAACUGAAUAUUUUUAAAUCAUGAAUAUUUCAAAAUUGGUGAACAAAAUUUGAACAAGUUUCCCAUUUGUGAACAAUUUUAGAAAACAAAAUAUUUUCCGUAAAACAGGAUUUGUUUUAUUCAAAUCUGAAAACAAUAACAUUCUGACCCAGCUUAUUUUUUUGUUUGAAAUAAUUCUAAUAAUUGUUUUCCUAUUUUUUCAAAUUCUAGAAUAGUUUUUCAAAUGACGGAAUAUUUUCCAAUUUCCGGAAUAUUUUAUCAAAUUUUGGAACAUUAUUUUUUCAAAAAUACGGAAUAUUUUGAUACAAAAUUCAGACUUUUUAAAAAAAAUCCAGAGCAUCUUUUUCAAAUUCCGGAACAUUUCUUUCAAAAUCUGGAAACAAAUUCCAAAUUCCAGAACAUUUUUUCAAAUUCCGACAGAUUUCUUUAGUUUUUGGAACAUUUAUACAAAUUCCGCAACAAUUUUCAAAUUCCAGAACAUUUUUUGAAUUCUGGGAAAAAAAUACCGGAGCAAUUUUUUAUAUUCCGGAACAUUUUUGAAAUUAGCGAACAUUUUUUUAAAUUUCUGAAUUUGGUUUUAUAUUCCGGAACAUUGUUUCUAAUUUGUGAACAUUUUCAAAUUCCGGAACAUUUUUUUAAAUUUUUAAACAUUUUUUCAAUUUCAGGAACAAUUUUUUAAAAUCCAGAACAUUUUUGAAACAGUAACAAAAAAAGAAUAAAAAAAAGGAAAACGAUAAAAAGAAAAAACCGGUUCAACGAAUCUUUUAGAAAGUUCCUAAAAUUUGAAAGCCCGGCUGGAAAAGUUUAGAAUAUUCCCAAAACAGAUAAAACGAGCGAAAAUCUCGGAAGGUUCCUAAAAACGAAAUCGCUGCAACAGGUGAACGCGCCGGUCCAACUUAGCUCUUCGAUCGGCAGCUUGUGCGAAAGGUCGAUAAUUUGACAUCAUAUAUCAAAUAGGAUAUUCCAUGCUGUGAUUACCAUCCGCCUCGUCUGAAGGGGUUGUACAUAUGGGACGGUCUGUUACAGCCAUCGCUCGCUCAGUCGCUCGCCCGUUCUAGCUACGUGUUUUUUUUCUUUCUCUAUUUGUCCACUACCUGGGCGGUUUUGAUUUUUUUUGUUUGGUUUUCUUUUUCUGUUAUCGGUUUUCUUUGGUUUUCUGUUUUAUCUUCAUUUUUUUCAAAGUUCUACAGAUUUUCUUAUUUAUUUUAUAUCUUUACUAUUUUUUGCUACUUCGUUUUUUUUAUUUUUUUCAUUUUAUAGGNACAUUUUUAUAAUUAUAUUUUUUAAAUCCAUUUUCUCCUUUCACAUUAUACAUUUUCUCCUUUCACAUUUUCGGUAUACACCAUACACAUUUUACAAUUCGAAAAUACAUGAUUAACCUUUUUUAAAACACAUAUUUUAUGUCUAAUUUUUCUGUAAAUAUUGUGCAUUUUUGGUGUACNNNNNNNNNNNNNNNNNNNNNNNNNNNNNNNNNNNNNNNNNNNNNNNNNNNNNNNNNNNNNNNNNNNNNNNNNNNNNNNNNNNNNNNNNNNNNNNNNNNNUUUGAACAUUUUUGGUUACAUGACUAUUUUUCAAAUUUGUGAACUUUUUUUAAAACCGGAAGAUUUUACAAAAAAACAAAUAAUUUUUAAAAAUUAGCAAACACUUUUUUGAGAAAGUGGGAAUGUUUCAAAAGUAUUGACAGUUUUCAUCAAUUUUUGUCAAAAAAGAGAAGAAAGGAAAGUUAAACAAAAGUACUACCUCCGUCCGGAAAUACUUGUCCUAGAGAUGAAUGUAUCUAGACUUAUUUUAAUUAUAGAUACAUCCAUUAUAUGCAUUUUUAGGACAAGUAUUUUCGGACGGAGGGAGUAGAUAUGAAAAAAUAAUAAUCAGAAAACCAAUGAAACCAGGAAAAUGGUUCAAGAAGCUUCGCAAAACCAGAACAAGAAUGCUUCUGCCUAGUGCUAAAACGGGUCAGCCCACUUGAUGGAUGGUCUAUAUAAGGAUUGAAAUCCUUAACGGUUCUAAGAGUUAUGAAGCCCUCGUAACUGCAAGCAGCUUAGAAAAUUCAGGAGAUCUAAAAUCUAAUGGGAGAUAUCAGUUAUUAAGUUAAAAAAAUAGCAUUAGCAUUAGUUUUAGAACACGGGCACCUAGCAUUGCACACUGCCUAUUACAAGUGUGCAAUUUCAGAAUGAUUUUCCAAAAUGGAGAAGUAGGAGUGAGUUGUAUGUAUCUUUCCCGUCCUGCAUGUCAGGAUUGAUAGAAAAGAAUGGCCACAACUUUGGUUUACCUAUAGAAUAGUGACUAUUUUGGGGGGAUUUAAAGGUGACUGCUGGUAAGAAAUAUCAAGAACUUAUUAAUAAAGCACUUUAUUAUAUUUAUAGAAUGCAUUAUACAUCAAUAAUUUUCCAAGCUUAUCUAGUGCAUAACAUAAACUAAAAUCCAAUCAAAUAAUACAAAACCUUGUGUUAUACUUAACGACAUACACAUUUUUCUAUAUCUCUAUGCUCUUGAGGAUCAUGGGAAGCCCAAACUUGGGCCGCAGCGUGAUCACAUCCAUCGGGGCAUGGACAUACUUAGGUGAUAGGGAAAACGAAAACCUCUGAAGAAUCACGGCGAUAACGGCCUUGGCCUCGAUCAUUGCAAAGCUCUGCCCAAUGCACGACCUCGGCCCGCUGGAGAAUGACAACAAGGCAUUGGGAUGCUUUCCGGCCCUCGCCACUCCAUUCUCGAACCUCAUAGGCUUGAAUUCGUUGGCAUCUUCUCCCCAUACCUCCUUGUCACGGUGGAUCGUCGCGAUGGGGAUCGUUAGGACGGUGCCUUCGGGCACUUUGAUGCCACCGACCUCGAGAUCUGAACCCGCCUUCCUCUGAAUGAGUGAUACAGGGGCGUAUAGCCUGAGAGUUUCCAGUAGGAACAUGUUGACCAAGUGCAGCUUGUUGAGCAUGUCGCCGGUGGGAACCUCACUGCCACACUCUCUUAGCACCUCCUCCCUGAGCUUCUCCUGCCACUCAGGGUGCGUGCUCAGCAAGAACAUGGUCCAUGUGAGGAGGUGCGAGCUGGUGUCAUGCCCGGCAAAGAAGAAUGUCUUGCACUCAUCUAUGAUCUCGUCCAUACUCAAAAUCGGAGUAUGGCCACCCUCUGCCGCGCACGCCUCCAGCAUGAGCCCGAGCAGGUCGUUGCCGUAGCCCAUGGUGUCUUUGGUGGCAAGACGGCUUUCGAUGAUGUUCAUCAGCAUGGUCCUCACCUCCUUGUCAAGCUUCCAUAUCUUGAGGUUCUUUUCAGUUGGAAGGUACCUGAAUAAUUCAACAAAUACACAGAGAUUAAUUUCAGCUGUGCGAAAACAUAUGUUGUAUGCUGAUUUAAAUUAAACCGACAACGGCACAAGAAGAAGAGGAGCUUGCAUUUACCUGAAUGCUGGGAUUUGGACACUGAAUACGGUGGAGAAGGCGAGGAACUGAAGUUCCCUCUGCGCCAGGAAGACCUUUUUCCCCUGUUCGUAGCUGCUUCCGAAUGCCGUGUGAGAGAUGACAUCCGCGGUUAUCUCCUCAAACUGGCUGCUGAGGUCAAUCUCCACGCUGCCGCCCUUGUCCAUCUUCGCCUCCCACUCCGACAUCAUUGACCCGGCACAUUCGGACAUGGUCACCGUCAUCAUCUGUCGUGCAAACAACAGUUAGCGCAAGUCAUACGCAUCGUGCCUAGUAAUACACAAACGUCAACGCGUGCUGCUCUGGAGCUUGGCACACCGCGCACGUACCUUGAGCUUGUCCAUGUUGAAGGCGGGGUGGACGACCUUCCGGUGGCGCUUCCAGUCGUCGCCGUCGGUGAGCACCAGCCCCUUGCCGAGCAGGCGGGCGAUGUGGGGGUUCCCGAUGUUCUUGGGGUACAUCCCGUUGCGGUCGGCGAGCACCUGCUUCACCACGUUCACGUCCGCCACGCACAGGCUCGGCCUGGCACCGAACCAGUACAGGAACGUGCGCCCUGCAAGCACGACACAGAACGUAAGAGCAGGAAGUAGACGGCCAUGUCGCCGUAGAAGACAGCCAUGGACUGGAACUUGGAAGGAAUUGCAGUCUGUCUGAGGUAGUGAGGUUUCGUACCGUGGAUGGGGAUCCAUUUGCGGAAGUGCGGCUGGACCAUGGGGACGAAGUCGUGGUCGCCGACGUCCAGCGCGGCGCCGGCGGUGUCGUCGCGGAGCCGCUUGAUCUCGCCGAGGUUGCCGGCGAAGAACCUGUAGCCCGGCCCGCCCACGCCCUGCGCGCGGAGCUGCCGGGUGAUGGCGCGCGGCCUCCACACGAGGUGCACCAGCGCGUUGAACGCCCACGAGACCAGCACCGCUACCACGGCCGCCGCCACCAUCCAGACGAGACCCAUGGUGGACCGGCACGGCGGUCACUCGGGAUUGAGAGAUUGAGACGGGUGGGGUGCCUCUGCUUCUGGUGCUCUGC